rnacentral:rRNA from 1 species
AGAGUUUGAUCCUGGCUCAGAUUGAACGCUGGCGGUAUGCUUAACACAUGCAAGUCGAACGGCAGCACGGUCUAGCUUGCUAGAUUGGUGGCGAGUGGCGAACGGGUGAGUAACGCGUAGGAAUAUACCUUAAAGAGGGGGACAACUUGGGGAAACUCAAGCUAAUACCGCAUAAUUUCUUAGGAAAAAAGCUGGGGACCUUCGGGCCUGGCGCUUUAAGAUUAGCCUGCGUCCGAUUAGCUAGUUGGUAGGGUAAAGGCCUACCAAGGCGACGAUCGGUAGCUGGUCUGAGAGGAUGAUCAGCCACACUGGAACUGAGACACGGUCCAGACUCCUACGGGAGGCAGCAGUGGGGAAUAUUGGACAAUGGGGGCAACCCUGAUCCAGCAAUACCGCGUGUGUGAAGAAGGCCUGAGGGUUGUAAAGCACUUUCAGUGGGGAGGAGGA